rnacentral:rRNA from 1 species
UAACAAGGAUUCCCCUAGUAACGGCGAGUGAAGCGGGAAGAGCUCAAAUUUGUAAUCUGGCGGUCUUCGGCCGUCCGAGUUGGGGUCUGGAGAAGCGUCUUCCGUGCCGGACCGUGUACAAGUCCCUUGGAACAGGGCGUCGUGGAGGGUGAGAAUCCCGUCUCUGACACGGACCGCCGGUGCUCUGUGAUGCGCUCUCGAAGAGUCGAGUUGUUUGGGAAUGCAGCUCAAAAUGGGUGGUAAAUUCCAUCUAAAGCUAAAUAUUGGCGAAAGACCGAUAGCGAACAAGUACCGUGAGGGAAAGAUGAAAAGCACUUUGGAAAGAGAGUUAAACAGUACGUGAAAUUGUUGAAAGGGAAACGCUUGAAGUCAGUCGCGUCUUCCGAGACUCAGCCGGGUUUCUUACCCGGUGUACUUCUCGGCGUCGACGGGCCAGCAUCGAUUUCGAUCGUCGGAGAAAGGCUCUGGGAAUGUGGCACCUUCGGGUGUGUUAUAGCCCUCUGUCGUAUGCGACGGUCGGGAUCGAGGACCGCAGCGCGCCCUUCACCGGGCCGGGGUUCGCCCACGUAACGCGCUUAGGAUGCUGGCGUAAUGGCUUUAAGCGACCCGUCUUGAAACACGGACCAAGGAGUCUAACAUGCCUGCGAGUGUUUGGAUGGAAAACCCGAGCGCGUAAUGAAAGUGAAAAAGGUCGGGACCUCUGUCGUGGAGGGCACCGACGCCCGGACCAGACCUCCUGUGACGGUUCCGAGGUAGAGCAUGUAUGUUGGGACCCGAAAGAUGGUGAACUAUGCCUGAGUAGGGUGAAGCCAGAGGAAACUCUGGUGGAGGCUCGUAGCGAUUCUGACGUGCAAAUCGAUCGUCGAACUUGGGUAUAGGGGCGAAAGACUAAUCGAACCAU